rnacentral:rRNA from 1 species
CUUGUACACACUGCCCGUCACGCCAUGGGAGUUGGUUCUACCUGAAGCCGGUGAGUUAACUUCGGAGACAGCCGUCCACGGUAGGGUCAGCGACUGGGGUG